CACCUCGCCGGGCGGCAGACAGGCACUCCUGCGGUGUAGCGGGGAAGCUACGGGCUUCGAUUUGGAAACCAUGCGGCAUCAUCGCAACGGCUGCUGCUGACUCAAGCACCCUUUGAGCUUCAGCUUCCGUGUCUACGCACUCGUUUCUUCAUAGUGCUAAACAACGCGGCACUGGAUGGAUGCAGCAUAGUUUAUCUAUCCGUGCACCUCCUGGGGGACAUCUUGGUUGCUUCUAAGUGUUGGCAAUUAUGAAUAAAGCAGUUAUAAACAUCCCUGUGCAAGUUUUUGUACGGACCGUCUUUUGAGGAGCAGAAAUGUUUAAUGAGAUCCAACUUACAAUUUUUUUCUUUCGUGGACUGUGCUUUUGCUGUUGUAUCUCAGAAGUCAUCACCAAACCCAUGGCUGCCUAGACUUCCCCCAAUGUUAUCUCCUAGGAGUUACCUUCUAUAGUUUUGCAUUUAACAUAUAGGUCUACGAUCCAGUUGGAGUUGAUUUUUGUGAAAGAGACGAAACCGUGUCAACCAAUACCAAUGAAGGGCAGUGGGGACUAGGUGCCUCCAGACCUGGAUUUCAAAACACAGAACCGGAAGUUACCGCCACACGCCCCUGCAACUGAAGGAUGGCAUAAAAUUCUAACAAAAGGUCCUGGGGAGCCAGAUGUUAACUCCAAGAACGCCAAUCCCUGCAAGCCGCCCAACAAACCAAGAAGGCAGUGAAGAAAGCAUGAAUUACUGCCCCAAAUGGGGUAUUUGUCAAGAAGAAGGACGAGCCAUGACCGGUUGGUGCUCACAUCGAACUUGGGAGCAGCAAAAUAUUUCAAGCUUCGGAAAGAG